GCACUCACCGCCCACUGCCCGAAGCGUGCGAAGUGAAGCCGGCGUCGGGGCUCCCUGCGCUCGUCCCUCGCCGCCCCGACCGCGCGGGUUGCUGCCGCCGCCCUAGACCGUGAUUGUAACGCGGAGCUGGCCCUUUCCCAGGCCGGCCGCUGCGCCUAAAGGCAGAAACACUCCAGAUGUCCUCCAAUAGUUACCAAGUUUCAAUCCCGAUGUCAAAAAGGAACACCAAUGGCCUGCCGGGGUCCAGCUCCAAUGAGCUGAAGACGUCUGCUGGGGGAGCUGUGUUAAGCUUUCAUGACAUCUGCUAUCGAGUGAAAGUGAAGAGUGGCUUUCUUUUUUGUCGGAAAACGGUUGAGAAGGAAAUACUGACGAACAUCAAGUACGUCGUCCAUGAACUUUUACUGAAACAGGUUCAUUGUCGUGCAGUGCGCGUCUCAGGUUUUGCUUAGUGCAGAUCAAGGUACCGGUCUGCACAGGUAGACAGACACACGCUCUUCAUUGCUUUUGGCUAAACGAGCUGAGCGGUGAGCCAGUUGGAGGAGAUGUUGGGUGUAUGUACAUGUAAGACAACUGGAGCUUAGCUCACGUCUAAGAGACGGAAGAGAGUUUAGGACCCAAAGUAACACACUCGGUUGUCUUACAGAAUUCAAGUCCGUACAAAACUAUGAUUUUUCUUCCCGCCAUCCAGCAACUGACUCAUCACAUGGUGGUGGCGUGGGCGAUAGAGGGACCCCUGAGUGUGAGAAUAAGGAGAGGAAUGGGAGGUGAAAAGCUUUUAUCUUUUGCUGCAUAUGCCCAGACUAGCAUCGACCGACCUUUCUGAAAAGCUGCCAGGUUAUUUGUGGAGCAAAUAAUGAAGAAAAGUGCUGGUCACUUGAGAUGUUUUGCUGCUACAUGGAAGUUAGCAAAUGAUUUGCAAUAUGUGCAGGUUGAGUAAAUUGAAUAUAUUACUGCUCGAGGGUAUAUUUGUCUUGCUUAUGUUUUUUUUGUUUGUUUGUUUGUUUGUCUUUUUUGCCAUUUCUGGGGCCGCACCCGAGGCGUAUAGAGGUUCCCAGGCCAAGGGUCCAAUCAGAACUGCAGCCGCCGGCCUACACCACAGCCCACUGAGCAAGGACGGGGAUCGAACCUGCAACCUCAUGGUUCCUAGUUGGAUUCAUUACCCACUGAGCCACGAUGGGAACUCCCCUGCUUAUGUUUUAAAGCUAGUAGUGUGUUAACUUGCUAACACUAAAGGUGUCAUCUGCUCAAGGCUUUACAGUGUUUUUAUGGUUGAGUGGUAUGCAUUUCAGCAACAGGUGAGUUCAUCCUUACACGCUUUUCUAGGUUCAUAAAAACUCAGUCAAAUCUUGUAAUCAUUUCAAAUUUUAGUAAUUAAGAGGAUGCCAGGGGUUGUUUUUCUUGCUUACUCACAUUUCUGGUGUAGGCAGUGGUGUUUCUUUUUCCUAUUUGCUGGUUUCAACUGAGUUUGUCUAGGAUGGGCAAAGGGUGCUCUCAUUUAUCUUGUUUAUUUGUUUAUUUUUUUAGGAGUGCAACUGAGGCAUAUGGAAGUUCCCAGGCUAGAGGUCAAAUCAGAGCCACAGCCACACUGGAUCCAAGCCCUAUCUGCAACCUUCGUUGAAACUCAUGGCAAUGCUAGAUCCUUAACCCACUGAGCGAGGCCAGGAAUCGAACCUCCAUCCUCAUGGAUACUAGUUGGGUUUGUAACCCACUGAGCUAUAGCAGGAGCUCCGUCACUUUGUUUCUUUAUGUGCUCACUGCUGUUGAUAUUUUUCUGGACCAUGUGAGAACAGGCUGCCCAUAUGAUGCUCCAUUAUCACCACCUCCUCCAGUAAAUAUUUCUAGAGACAGGGACUCUCCCUUAUAUAACCACUCAGUCAUUGCCCGGGAGCAGUCCAGGGGUGGCCUCAGCCUGAACAUAGGGGCGGGUCCUGGGAGGCCGCUGCUCAGCCACGCUUCUCAACACGUUGUGUCUCUUCAGUCUCAUCCACGCUGUCGUUUUUCUGUCCCAUCCCUUAACCUUGAUUACCUGCCCAGGUUGGGGUCUGCCAGCCUUCUUUAGUAUAAUGUCACCAUCAUCCCCUUUGUAAUUGAUAAAUAUUAUGAAGGGAGAUACUCUAACAUUAUUCCAUUAUUCCAAAAUCCUAUUUCCAAAAAAAAAAAAAAAAAA
rnacentral:lncRNA from 1 species